rnacentral:tRNA from 1 species
GCAAUAGUAGCUCAACCUUAAAGCCUCGGUCUUGUAAACCGGACAUCGAGGGUUAAAAUCCCUCCUCUUGCU